UCCACGUCCACGAGCCGCGCGGGUUUUG
rnacentral:sRNA from 1 species